rnacentral:rRNA from 1 species
CUGCGAAUGGCUCAUUAAAUCAGUUAUCGUUUAUUUGAUAGUACCUUACUACUUGGAUAACCGUGGUAAUUCUAGAGCUAAUACAUGCUAAAAACCCCAACUUCGGGAGGGGUGUAUUUAUUAGAUAAAAAACCAACGCCCUUCGGGGCUCCUUGGUGAAUCAUAAUAACUUAACGGAUCGCAUGGCCUUGCGCCGGCGACGGUUCAUUCAAAUUUCUGCCCUAUCAACUUUCGAUUGUAGGGUAUUGGCCUACAAUGGUAUCAACGGGUAACGGGGAAUUAGGGUUCGAUUCCGGAGAGGGAGCCUGAGAAACGGCUACCACAUCCAAGGAAGGCAGCAGGCGCGCAAAUUACCCAAUCCCGACACGGGGAGGUAGUGACAAUAAAUACUGAUACAGGGCUCUUUUGGGUCUUGUAAUUGGAAUGAGUACAAUUUAAAUCCCUUAACGAGGAACAAUUGGAGGGCAAGUCUGGUGCCAGCAGCCGCGGUAAUUCCAGCUCCAAUAGCGUAUAUUAAAGUUGUUGCAGUUAAAAAGCUCGUAGUUGAACCUUGGGCCUGGCUGGCCGGUCCGCCUCACCGCGUGCACUGGUCCGGCCGGGCCUUUCCUUCUGGAGAGCCGCAUGCCCUUCACUGGGUGUGUCGGGGAACCAGGACUUUUACUUUGAAAAAAUUAGAGUGUUCAAAGCAGGCCUUUGCUCGAAUACAUUAGCAUGGAAUAAUAGAAUAGGACGUGCGGUUCUAUUUUGUUGGUUUCUAGGACCGCCGUAAUGAUUAAUAGGGAUAGUCGGGGGCAUCAGUAUUCAAUUGUCAGAGGUGAAAUUCUUGGAUUUAUUGAAGACUAACUACUGCGAAAGCAUUUGCCAAGGAUGUUUUCAUUAAUCAGUGAACGAAAGUUAGGGGAUCGAAGACGAUCAGAUACCGUCGUAGUCUUAACCGUAAACUAUGCCGACUAGGGAUCGGGCGAUGUUAUUAUUUUGACUCGCUCGGCACCUUACGAGAAA